CAUGCAAGUCGAGGGGCAGCAUGAACUUAGCUUGCUAAGUUUGAUGGCGACCGGCGCACGGGUGAGUAACACGUAUCCAACCUUCCGUUUACUCAGGGAUAGCCUUUCGAAAGAAAGAUUAAUACCUGAUAGUAUGGUGAGAUUGCAUGAUAGCACCAUUAAAGAUUUAUUGGUAAACGAUGGGGAUGCGUUCCAUUAGGUAGUAGGCGGGGUAACGGCCCACCUAGCCGACGAUGGAUAGGGGUUCUGAGAGGAAGGUCCCCCACAUUGGAACUGAGACACGGUCCAAACUCCUACGGGAGGCAGCAGUGAGGAAUAUUGGUCAAUGGGCGAGAGCCUGAACCAGCCAAGUAGCGUGAAGGAUGAAGGUCCUACGGAUUGUAAACUUCUUUUAUACGGGAAUAAAGUAUCCUACGUGUAGGAUUUUGUAUGUACCGUAUGAAUAAGCAUCGGCUAACUCCGUGCCAGCAGCCGCGGUAAUACGGAGGAUGCGAGCGUUAUCCGGAUUUAUUGGGUUUAAAGGGAGCGCAGACGGGAGAUUAAGUCAGUUGUGAAAGUUUGCGGCUUAACCGUAAAAUUGCAGUUGAUACUGGUUUCCUUGAGUGCAGUUGAGGCAGGCGGAAUUCGUGG
rnacentral:rRNA from 1 species